AUGAUUACCGUGCUAUGCAACUUCCAUUCGCCAGGGGGGACUGUGUUUACACAUCAUACCAUGGGUUUCAUGAAUCAUCAUAUCCAGAGAUUCGUCGACACAACUUAUUGCCAGUACCAUAUAACUGGAAUUAACCGAUGCAAGUCCAAGAAGGAUUGGUCGGUGCUGCCGGCUGGCCUCAAGUUCGAUCCCACUGAUCAAGGGCUGAUCGAGCACCUUGAGGCCAAAGUGAGUGCUGACAGCACAAGAUCUCACCCUCUCAUUGAUUUGUUCAUACCAACCAUUGACAGCGAGCACAACAUAUGCUACACCCAUCCUGAGAAACUUCUAGGUAUCACACUGAGUGGCCUAAGCAAGCAUUUCUUUUAUCGCAAUUCCAAGGCGUUCAAAAGGGGCACAUGGACGCGUCGCAAGAUACAGUUGGAGUGCGGCAUGCACGCGAUGUGGCACAAGACCGACAAUACCUUGCCGGUGAUGGUCAAUGACCGGCAGACGGGCAGCAAAAAGGUUCUGGUGCUGCACACCAACAAGAACUUCGACCAGCAGAGGACCAACUAG
rnacentral:rRNA from 1 species